UACAGUAAUGACUCCCUCCAGGGGUAAUACAGUAAUGACUCCCUCCAGGGGUAAUACAGUAAUGACUCCCUCCAGGGGUAAUACAGUAAUGACUCCCUCCAGGGGUAAUACAGUAAUGACUCCCUCCAGGGGUAAUACAGUAAUGACUCCCUCCAGGGGUAAUACAGUAAUGACUCCC